rnacentral:rRNA from 1 species
AUACGGAGGAUCCGAGCGUUAUCCGGAUUUAUUGGGUUUAAAGGGUGCGCAGGCGGGGGAUUAAGUCGGAGGUGGAAAUUUGCAGCUCAACUGUUAAAGGGGCCUCGAAACCUGUUUCCUUUGGUGUAGAUGUAGAUGGCGGAAUUUGUGGCGUUGCGGGGCAAUGCAUAGAUAUCACGAGGAACUCCUAUUGCGCAGGCAGCUUACUAAACUACUACUGACGCUCAGGCACGAAGGCGUGGGGAUCAAACAGGAUUAGAUACCCUGGUAGUCCACGCAGUAAACGAUGAUUACUAGCUGUUUGCGAUACAAUGUAAGCGGCUGAGCGAAAGCGUUAAGUAAUCCACCUGGGGAGUACGUUCGCAAGAAUGAAACUCAAAUGAAUUGACGGGG